GCCCCAGAGGCCCAGUGAGCACGGGGAGGGGCUAGACGCGGGCUGGACAGCCAUUAGCGAGCAGGGGCGGGGCAGCUCGGGGACUCUAUUUCCCAGAGGGCGUAGCGGCCGCUACCGGAAGCGGCGCGCCUGAGGCCCAGUGCGCAGGCGCAUGCUUUACCUUGGUCUAUAUAAAGAAGGUCGGCUGCCAUCCUCGUUCUUUCGUUCCUGAGAUCCUUCGUCUUCAGCUUUGUGCGCCAUGUCUCGUCCAUGUGGGAGUAAUGUGCAGAUGGUUGGCAUGAUUAAGCGGUGCAGAACAGGGGUUGGAGGGAGAGGAGACGCCGCCACCUUUGGGCCUCCAGGGAGAUGAGAAUAAGUCUAUGACCUUCGACUUCCUAAUUUCUUAAGGUUUGGCUGCUGAUAGCAGACAUUGGAUGGAGGGUGAAUUCUGGAGUAGGAGAGGACUGGCCUCAGGUUGCCAUGGAUGCCAGUAUGUUCAGAUCUUCCUUGAUUUCAAUGUCCUGAAACAGGUACUUCUGGAGAACAGAUGAACAGUUUCCUGCUGGCUCGGUCCCAUAAAGGAUUUUAUACAUUUGGUCCCAAGGGCUGUAUGUGAUCCAGAAAGUUUACUUUUUAGGCUGGAAUGUGGCAUGGUAUGCACUGCUAUUAGAAAUACUGAAUGACACAGACCUAUCUGUAGAAAUAAAAAUCUCACCCGG